UCUCUGACCAUCAUGAACAUCAGAAACACAGACUCUGGAGAUUAUCAUCUAGAGACCAUAAUCAGCGGCAGCAUCAGUGAAAAGAUCUUCAAUGUCACUAUCACUGGUGAAUCAUUAUGUUUAAAAGCAGUUUGUAUUUGUUUGAAUCACAUGUACUUUUUAUUUAUUUUGUUUAUGCAGUCACAGUCAGAGCUGUUAUAUCUCUUUACCUGUAAAUUUAUUCACAUUUUCACUUUCACUUUUCACUUUUUCACUUUUACUGUGAAAUGUAAUUUGUAGAAUUAUCUGCAUUGUUUGCAUUGCUAAAAAAAAAAAAAGAUCUCUGACAUCUUUGACAACCUUCUAUUAUCAUUCUUAAAAUUUUUUUAGUUUACCAUUAAUUCAAAAAUGCUGAGGUGUUUACCAUUUGAUGUUAAAGAAGUAUGCAAAAUAUUCAGAAGCACACAACAUAAACAAUGUUGUCAAGUCAAGAUAGACCAUGUUUAGUUACCAACAACUUUCAUGUUGUGUGUUUUUUGUUGUUGUUGUUGUUGUUGUUGUUUUUUGGUUUGUUUUUUGAUUGUUGAGCAAAAGAUUGUUGAAACAGCUGUUGGUUUGUGUUUCAGGAGGUCCUGGCUCAAAGGCAGUGCAAAUGAAGAGAACAAUGGAGAUGAAGGGAGCAUCAGACACUUUAAACAAUGGAGAGGCCAAAACCAGUGGCUCUGAUGGCGGAGAUGAAGCCCCUGUUCUAUCAGGUAAUAUUUCCAGGAAAAGACACAGAUCUGCUCUGCUGCAUUUCAUGUGGCCAGAGUGACUUGACACAGCGCCCUAAGGAAUCUGUUGGAGCUACAUCUUCUCCAUACGGUGCAUCCUCUGCACUUAGGAGAAAAGCAGAAAAUGCUAGAUAUAAACUAGCUGAAGAAGUAGUGCAGAGAGUGUUGCAGAACAUUUAUAUUGAUGAUUAUCUGAAUUCUGUGUCAUCGAGAGAACCAUGCCGUUGUAUCAGUAAAACAGCUCAGGAAUAAGUGCAAACAGACCUUUUAUCAGGACACAGUGUGACAUUCAUUCUCUUAGCCAGCAAUAUGAUAUUUGCUGAUACCCCCAAAACAGGCCACAAUACGAUUAUGAUUCAAUUAGAUUCAGGAGUAUAUUGAUUGAUAUAUUAAUAUUACAAUAUUAUAUGAUAUGCUUAUUUUACAUAACCAGUUUGAUUUUAGAGAGAGCUAUCUAAUAAUAAAGAGAGAAAAACAUGAUGACA
ensembl:lncRNA